UCACAGACUGGACUGAGGUCAGCAGCAUGUUGAGAGUCUGUGUUGACAUGAUGACGAUCCACAACAACAGGAGGACACAUUCUAAUAUUCAUAUUUCUUUAUCCAGGUUGUCGAGAUGCAAUCUGUCAGAGAUCAGCUGUUCUUCUCUGGCUUCAGCUCUGAGGUCAAACCCCUCUCAUCUGAGAGAACUGGAUCUGAGGAACAACGACCUGCAGGACUCAGCAGUGAAGGAGCUGCUUGAUCUACAGCAGAGUCCAACCUGUCGACUGGAGACUCUGAGGUGGGGGUCUGUGUGGAGCUGAGUGUGAAGAGGACAGUGUGUGUGGACGGAGGCUGAGCUGUGUCCUGAGGAUCCAGAGGCUGAAGCAGCAGCAGCUUGUGUGUAGUCUCCAAUCUACACAACCCCUAAUCUGCAUGUGUUUGUGAGAUGAAGCCGGAGCACCUGGAGAAAACACGUGGAGAACAUGCAGACUCCACACAGGAAGACCCAUCUGAACCGGAUUCAAACCAGCAACCUUCCUGCCCCGAUUGUGUUUAUUCACAUGAAGAAUGUGUUUAUUGAAAUGACACAACACAAGCAGAAUAUAUAAACCCUCUAUAAAGAGUCACAUACAGUGUGUUUAAGUUUGUCUUUAUUAUUUUCUACCUUUGUCCCUCAGUCUGUCUCCAUGUGUGUAGAACCACAUUCUGUGUAUAUGUCUGUUUAUGAUCUUAAAGUUCCUGGAUUCACGUCACAAAUUGAUUUAGUUCAACACAAAGUUCAACACAUUGAAAUCACUUUGAGUUUAAAAUCAGAGUUUUGUCUUUGACACAAAAGAUCAAAACUCUGGACUUAAAAAUGGGACGUUUUCAUUUCUGCAUCAGGUGCAGAGCGGUGGUGGCUUUUCUACUUUUGACCCACAGGUGGCGCUGCAGUGUAACAGCAGCACAUCCCAGUCACAGCCUUUUAGCAUGCUGGGAAAUAAUUGAUGAUGGGAGGUUCGCAGCAGAGACAAGGGACAGAACGUGUCUGACUUUAAAUGUUCACGUCUCUCCGUCGUGUUGACUGUCGACAUUAAAUGAACCUUCCAAUAUAAUUUGACAAUCAGCUCUAAAUAAAAGCUUUUGAUGUAAA